GAAAUGCGAUAAGUAAUGUGAAUUGCAGAAUUCAGUGAAUCAUCGAAUCUUUGAACGCACCUUGCGCUCCUUGGUAUUCCUUGGAGCAUGCCUGUUUGAGUAUCAUGAAAUCUUCAAAGUAAAUCUUUUGUUAACUCAAUUGGUUUCUACUUUGGUAUUGGAGGUCUUUGCAGCUUCACACCUGCUCCUCUUUGUUCAUAGCUGGAUCUCAGUGUUAUGCUUGGUUCCACUCGGCGUGAUAAGUUAUCUAUCGCUGAGGACACUGUAAAAGGUGGCCAAGGUAAAUGCAGAUGAACCGCUUCUAAUAGUCCAUUGACUUGGACAAUACUUUUAUGAUCUGAUCUCAAAUCAGGUAGGACUACGCGCUGAACUUAAGC
rnacentral:misc_RNA from 1 species